UACAGAGGGUGCGAGCGUUGUUCGGAAUUACUGGGCGUAAAGCGCGCGCAGGCGGAUCCUGCAAGUCUGGAGUGAAAUCUCACCGCUCAACGGUGAGGCUGCUUUGGAUACUGCGGAUCUGGAGACCGGUAGAGGCUGGUAGAAUUGCAGGUGUAGCGGUGGAAUGCGUAGAGAUCUGCAAGAAUACCCCGUGGCGAAGGCGGCCAGCUGGGCCCGGUUCUGACGCUGAGGCGCGAAAAGCGUGGGGAGCAAACAGG
rnacentral:rRNA from 1 species